AUUGAACGAUGGCGGCAGGCCUAACACCUGCAAGUCGAGCGGAGCGGCGGACGGGUGAGUAAUGCCUAGGACUCUGCCUGGUAGUGGGGGAUAACGUCCGGAAACGGGCGCUAAUACCGCAUACUUUCCGAUGUGCCUCGGUCGGCUUAGCUCGUUGGUGGGGUAAAGGCAUACCAAGGCGACGAUCCGUAACUGGUCUGAGGUGAUGAUCAGUCACACUGGAACUGAGACACGGUCCAGACUCCUACGGGAGGCAGAAGUGGGGAAUAUUGGACAAUGGGCGAAAGCCUUGUCCAGCCAUGCCACGUGUGUGAAGAAGGUCUUCGGAUUGUAAAGCACUUUAAGUUGGGAGGCGUUACCAACAGAAUAAGCACCGACUAACUUCGUGCCAGCAGCCGCGGUAAUAC
rnacentral:rRNA from 1 species